CCUACGGGGGACAGCAGUGGGGAAUAUUGGGCAAUGGGCGCAAGCCUGACCCAGCAACGCCGCGUGAAGGAAGAAGGCUUUCGGGUUGUAAACUUCUUUUCUGCGGGACGACGCAAGUGACGGUACCUCAGGAAUAAGCCACGGCUAACUACGUGCCAGCAGCCGCGGUAAUACGUAGGUGGCAAGCGUUAUCCGGAUUUAGUGGGUGUAAAGGGCGUGUAGGCGGGAAAGCAAGUCAGAUGUGAAAACUCAGGGCUCAACCCUGAGCGUGCAUUUGAAACUGUUUGUCUUGAGUGCUGGAGAGGCAAUCGGAAUUCCGGGUGUAGCGGUGAAAUGCGUAGAUAUACGGAGGAACACCAGUGGCGAAGGCGGAUUGCUGGACAGUAACUGACGCUGAGGCGCGAAAGCGUGGGGAGCAAACAGGAUUAGAUACCCGGGUAGUC
rnacentral:rRNA from 1 species